rnacentral:lncRNA from 1 species
CGACCCGCUUCUACCUGUCCCGAGUGACCAGAGCUCAGUGACCAGUCCUUAUAGUCGAAAGCAGGCAAAAACCAUGGGCCGCUCUGGAUUGUGAAGCCGAUGCCAAAAACCAAGAUGGCCUUGAAGAGUGCUCUGCUCACCCCCACCCCCACACACACCUUGGUGGAGGGUGGUGGAUGUGGAGAAAGUUCUGUGGACUGGAACUCGGGAUCCUUCUGUCUUAGCCCUGGGGCUGGAACGGCAGUUAUGUAGGUUUUUACUGCUGAGGACCUGGACCCGCUGGGAGGCUUGCCAUGGUAACAGAACAGGAGGUAGAGGCCAUAGGGAAAACCCUAGUGGACUCCACGCAGCCCCUGCAGGCCCGCUUCCGUGCCCUGUUUACCCUGCGGGGACUUGGUGGCCCCGAUGCUAUCUCCUGGAUCAGCCGAGGCUUUGAGGACAGCUCUGCCCUUCUGAAGCACGAGCUAGCCUACUGCCUGGGCCAGAUGAGGGACCCACGAGCCAUCCCUGUGCUGGUGUCCGUCCUACAGGACAGGAACCAGGAGCCCAUGGUGCGUCAUGAGGCAGGGGAAGCACUGGGGGCGAUUGGUAACCCGAAAGUUCUAGGCCUCCUGAAGC